rnacentral:tRNA from 1 species
GGGCGAUUAGCUCAGUUGGUUCAGAGCAUCUGCCUUACAAGCAGAGGGUCAUAGGUUCGAAUCCUAUAUCGCCCA